rnacentral:rRNA from 1 species
UACGUAGGUGGCAAGCGUUGUUCGGAAUUAUUGGGCGUAAAGGGCGCGUAGGCGGUUUGUUAAGUCAGCUGUGAAAGCCCGGGGCUCAACCCCGGAGAGUCGGCUGAUACUGGCAAACUUGAGUACGGAAGAGGUAGCUGGAAUUCCCGGUGUAGUGGUGAAAUGCGUAGAGAUCGGGAGGAACACCCGUGGCGAAGGCGGCUCACUGGGCUGACCUUGACGCUGAGGCGCGAAGGCGUGGGGAGCGAACGGG